GCGAGAAGACCCUAUAAAUCUUUAUAUUUAGAUUAUUAUAAUUUUAUAGAUUUUUUUUGUUAUAAUAAUCAAUGAUAUUUUAUUGGGGUGAUAUUAAAAUUUAAUAAACUUUUAAUUGUUAAAAUCAUUAAUUUAUGAAUAAUUGAUCCGUUAUUAGCGAUUAAAAAAAUAAGUUACUUUAGGGAUAACAGCGUAAUUUUUUUGGAGAGUUCAUAUCGAAAAAAAGAUUGCGACCUCGAUGUUGGAUUAA
rnacentral:rRNA from 1 species